CGUCAUCGUAGGGUUAGUCGGGUCCUAAGUCGAGUCUGAAAAGGGUAGACGAUGGCAAAUUGAUUAAUAUUUCAAUACCAACAUACAAGCGCGAUGUGGGGACGCAUAGAGUUAAUCGAGCUCACUGAUGGAAUAGUGGGUCGAAGGACGUAGGCUGUAACUUAGGCAAAUCCGGGUUACAUGAGGCCGAGAUCUUACAGGCUCCUGACACUCUUCGGAGGAGAGGGAGAAUCGAUGAUACUGUCGUGCCAAGAAAAGCCACUAAGUAUAUUGUAUGUUGCCCGUACCGUAAACCGACACAGGUGGGUGGGAUGAGUAUUCUAAGGCGCGUGGAAGAACCCUGGUUAAGGAACUCUGCAAACUAGCACCGUAUCUUCGGUAUAAGGUGUGCCUACUUUGGUAUAGGAAUUUACUUCCGAAAGCUAAUAGGGGUCGCAGCAAAGAGUCCCUCCCGACUGUUUAC
rnacentral:rRNA from 1 species